rnacentral:rRNA from 1 species
AAUGAACGCUGGCGGCGUGCCUAACACAUGCAAGUCGUGCGCGAACGGGACUUCGGUCCCUAGUAGAGCGGCGAACGGGUGAGUAACACGUGGGUAACCUGCCUGGGAGUGGGGGAUAACCUGGGGAAACUCGGGCUAAUACCGCAUACGUUCCCGGAGCUACGGCUCCGGGAGGAAAGAUGGCCUCUGCUUGCAAGCUAUCUCUCCCAGAGGGGCCCGCGGCUGAUUAGCUAGUUGGUGGGGUAACGGCCCACCAAGGCGACGAUCAGUAGCCGGCCUGAGAGGGUGAUCGGCCUCACUGGAACUGAGACACGGUCCAGACUCCUACGGGAGGCAGCAGUGGGGAAUAUUGGACAAUGGGGGAGACCCUGAUCCAGCAACGCCGCGUGGGGGAUGAAGGUCUUCGGAUUGUAAACCCCUGUUGAGAGGGACGAAGGCUUUCGGGCAAACAGUCCGGAAGCUUGACGGUACCUCGAGAGGAAGCCCCGGCUAACUCUGUGCCAGCCGCCGCGGUAAUAC